rnacentral:lncRNA from 1 species
AGCCCAUCUCCAUUAUCACCUCCAGCUGCAGCCCAGAACCAGCUGAUGCUAGCAGAGAACCUUGGGAAGGAAGGGAGAAGGUAGUGAAAUAUGAGGGACAAUUCUAAAAUUGUUGUCUAAAGGCUGAAUUUUAUAUAAAGUAUGGAUGUUUCUUCUUACUUGUCUCUGAAGAUGAGGAUGGCAGCUAUUUUAAGGACCGUGCAACUACUGCCUAAGCCAAGAGUUUGGGCUUGGGGAUGCUCAUUGAACAAUUUGGAGGGAAGCUUGGACCCAGCACGUGAAUGAAGCAUGCAAAGUAUUGUGGCUGACCUAUCUGGUACCCAAACAGUCACCCCAGGAUACUGCUCAAAGAAGCUCGAGCUCCAGCUUGACUCAUCUGGGCUCUACUUUUCUCAUGAAAAGUGUAAACCAGAAAAUAAUGAGAUCACCCAUUCGUGAAUACUUCUAUUAGAGUUAAAUCUUUUUUUCCUUCCAUUUUGGGCCCAUAAUUGCAGAUUUUUUAGCUGCAUUUGUUGUUGUGGAUACUAAAGAAUUUGGUGCUUAAGUAUUGUUUCUUUGUUUCCAAGUGAUCUCAAUUCUCAUGAAUUCAAGUGAAGUCAUACAAAAUAUGGAGCACUGGAUAAUAUUUUGAUACAAGUAGGUCUGAAGCUUACUGCAGAAAUUUUAAAGACCUGUAUGGUUCAACAGGGAUCAGGCAAGAAAAAUCUUACCAGUUUGCCAGUUUAUCAUUUCUAGAAAUUCAGGAAACUAAUUUGACUACUAUGUUUGGAAAAUCUGUGUACUUGUUUUUCUUGCGCCAUCACAUUUAAAUAAGUUGCACAGUUAUGAGGUCUUGAUUUUUGUGACUGCGAGUAACAGCUUUGCUUGUACUCUCUUGACAUAUUGAGUUUGAAGAGCUCUUGUCUCCAAGCAGUCCAUUGCCAUGCUGAGAUCUGUUUUGUCAAUGACUACAGGAUGCUUCACUCUGUAUGCAUAUCUGUUGGGAAAGUGCUAAUUUUCCUGGCAAGUGAAGGACUGAACAUCUGCCAGUCUUCACUUUCCAGGCAGCAAACAAUGUGAGGAAACCGUUUUCCAUGCUGUUGAGGUGUCACUACUGUCACACUGCGUAUUAAUACUGAGUGGGAGACAUAUUCAUGCUGAAGUACUGAAUGGUCACUUUGUUGAACUACGUAGCCUGAUUUUGUCAAUCAAUUAAACCUUAAUUUAAUAGUCCUUUUUUAAACAAACAAGAAAAACAGCACGACACCAAC